rnacentral:rRNA from 1 species
UACGUAGGUGGCGAGCGUUGUCCGGAUUUACUGGGCGUAAAGGGAGCGUAGGCGGACUUUUAAGUGAGAUGUGAAAUACUCGGGCUCAACUUGAGUGCUGCAUUUCAAACUGGAAGUCUAGAGUGCAGCAGAGGAGAAUGGAAUUCCUAGUGUAGCGGUGAAAUGCGUAGAGAUUAGGAAGAACACCAGUGGCGAAGGCGAUUCUCUGGACUGUAACUGACGCUGAGGCUCGAAAGCGUGGGGAGCAAACAGG